AAUUACCCACUUCCCGGAUCGGGGAGGUAGUGAUGAAAAAUAACAAUGCGGGGCUCUCACCGAGUCUGACGCAAUUGCAAUGAGUACGAUCUAAAUCCUGUAACGAGGAUCUAUUGGAGGGCAAGUUCUGGUGCCAGCAGCCGCGGUAAUUCCAGCUCCNACAGCAUAUGUUAAAGUUGCUGCAGUCAAAAAGCUCGUAGUUGGAUCUGACUGUCCGAAGCGUGUUGUGGUGGGAUGGAAUCGUCCCAUUUGCGAUGCGUGUGAUUCGGACUGAAAAAAGUGCCGGUUGUUUGACCCUACCCGAUUGUGUCCUUGAAUGGGCGCCGGGUUGAUGGGGCCGGAGAUGGUUACUUUGGAGAAAUAAGAGUGUUCAAAACAGGCGUGCUUAGCCUAUGAAAAUCGUUGCAUGGGAUAACGGAAGAGGACCUCUGUCUNUAUUUCGUUGGUUUGUNUGAGACGUUGAGGUAAUGAUUGAGAGGGGCAGACGGAGGCAUUCGUACUACGGUGUUAGAGGUGAAAUUCUUGGAUCGCCGUAAGACGAACAGAAGCGAAAGCAUUUGCCGAGAAUGUUUUCAUUNAUCAAGAACGAAAGUCGGAGGUUNGAAGACGAUCAGANACNGUNGUAGUUCCGANCGCAAACGAUGUNGACUGGCGAUCCGCCGAGUGGAAUGCUCGAAUGAGAGUAAUGAGCUCGGCGGGCAGCCUCCGGGAAACCAAAGUGUUUGGAUUCUGGGGGAAGUAUGGUUGCAAAGNUGAAACUUAAAGGAAUUGACGGAAGGGCACCACCAGGAGUGGAGCCUGCGGCUUAAUUUGACUCAACACGGGGAAACUCACCCGGCCCGGACACUGUUAGGAUUGACAGAUUGAGAGCUCUUUCUUGAUUCGGUGGUUGGUGGUGCAUGGCCGUUCUUAGUUGGUGGAGCGAUUUGUCUGGUCAAUUCCGAUAACGAACGAGACUCUAGCCUAUUAAUUGGAAUUCGUUCUCGUCGUGAAUGACGAGUUCGAGUCUGCUUAGAGGGACUAUUGGUCGAAACAAAGACCCACGAGAUGGAGCAAUAACAGGUCUGUGAUGCCCUUAGAUGUCCGGGGCUGCACGCGCGCUACACUGAAAGAAUCAGCGAGCAUAAUGAUCUGCUCCGAAAGGAGGGGGUAAGCUGCUGAACCUCUUUCGUGAUGGGGAUUGGGCCCUGUAAACUUGGCCCAUGAACGAGGAAUUCCCAGUAAGCACGAGUCACAAGCUCGUGUUGAUUACGUCCCUGCCCUUUGUACACACCGCCCGUCGCUACCAGUGAUUACCCGUCUUGGUAAGGGAGGGAGACCGUUUGAUAUCGGGAACCCAACCGAACCGCUAGUC
rnacentral:rRNA from 1 species